rnacentral:rRNA from 1 species
UACGGAGGGUGCAAGCGUUACUCGGAAUCACUGGGCGUAAAGCGCGCGCAGGCGGCCUUUUAAGUUGGAUGUGAAAGCCUACGGCUUAACCGUAGAACUGCAUCCAAAACUACUAGGCUAGAGUGUGGGAGAGGAAGAUGGAAUUAGUUGUGUAGGGGUAAAAUCCGUAGAGAUAACUAGGAAUACCAAAAGCGAAGGCAAUCUUCUGGAACACUACUGACGCUGAGGCGCGAAAGCGUGGGGAGCAAACAGGAUUAGAUACCCUGGUAGUCCACGUCCUAAACGAUGAAUGUUAGUCGUCGGGUAGCUAGUCUAUUCGGUGAUGCAGCUAACGCAUUAAACAUUCCGCCUGGGGAGUACGGUCGCAAGAUUAAAACUCAAAGGAAUAGACGGGGACCCGCACAAGUGGUGGAGCAUGUGGUUUAAUUCGAAGAUACGCGAAGAACCUUACCUAGCCUUGACAUAUAUUAGAACACUUUAGAGAUAGAGUGGUGCCUUCGGGAGCUUUUAUACAGGUGCUGCACGGCUGUCGUCAGCUCGUGUCGUGAGAUGUUGGGUUAAGUCCCGCAACGAGCGCAACCCUCGUCACUAGUUACUAACGGUUCGGCCGAGGACUCUAGUGAGACUGCCUUCGCAAGGAGGAGGAAGGUGAGGACGACGUCAAGUCAUCAUGGCCCUUACGGCUAGGGCAACACACGUGCUACAAUGGCCAGGACAAUGAGACGCAAUACCGCGAGGUGGAGCAAAUCUAUAAACCUGGUCUCAGUUCGGAUUGUAGUCUGCAACUCGACUACAUGAAGCUGGAAUCACUAGUAAUCGUAGAUCAGCUAUGCUACGGUGAAUACGUUCCCGGGUCU